rnacentral:rRNA from 1 species
AGUGAACGCUGGCGGUAGGCCUAACACAUGCAAGUCGAACGGCAGCACAGGAGAGCUUGCUCUCUGGGUGGCGAGUGGCGGACGGGUGAGGAAUACAUCGGAAUCUACUCUGUCGUGGGGGAUAACGUAGGGAAACUUACGCUAAUACCGCAUACGACCUACGGGUGAAAGCAGGGGACCUUCGGGCCUUGCGCGAUUGAAUGAGGCGAUGUCGGAUUAGCUAGUUGGCGGGGUAAAGGCCCACCACGGCGACGAUCCGUAGCGGGUCUGAGAGGAUGAUCAGCCACACUGGAACUGAGACACAGUCCAGACUCCUACGGGAGGCAGCAGUGGGGAAUAUUGGACAAUGGGCGCAAGCCUGAUCCAGCCAUACCGCGUGGGUGAAGAAGGCCUUCGGGUUGUAAAGCCCUUUUGUUGGGAAAGAAAUCCAGCUGGCUAAUACCCGGUUGGGAUGACGGUACCCAAAGAAUAAGCACCGGCUAACUUCGUGCCAGCCGCCGCAGUAA